CGAGCAUCAGAAGUUUGAGUAGGCAAAGACUGGCACCGGAGUUGAAGUCCAUCAAAAGUUGAUUUCAACAUGGCACAUGAUCGGGGUGGACCUCAUCUGACCCUUCACGAAAUCCAGGAAUGGCAACAGCUGGUGUCUGCCGGCGACCGAUCACUUUACCAAGUGGGUGAAGCAAUACCCAUUAAGGACGAGACUAGCGAGGCCACCUCCAAGGCGAUGGUGGACUAUGUUCAACACCCACAGUUCUCCUGAGGUCAUGACCGAGGUCAUGAACGGUGGAACAAGGUUUGGUAAAUGGACCAACCAGACCCUCAAGACUGCCAUGGGCAAGUUCCUUGAUACCAGGAAGGGUGGGAGAACAACCUGAAGGUAAUUCUCUUUGCACACAACAGCAGACGGGAGCAGCAGCUGUUGACUGAGAUCACUGAAACCCCACCUGRUGUGGUGGAAGUUGUCGAACCAGAUCAGAACGCCUUUGAGGACCACCUUCAGGCACGGACUGAGAAGGAUGUGAAGGUUUUUGACCAGCUAGAGUUUCUGCCCAACACCCAGACGUGGAUCCACCUGAUGUCCUCCAUUACCAACCAUCCUCCAACUUUUCUUUACAUCAUCUACCCUGUUGUCAUUAUCUGCUAAGAAAGUUUCCUUGCUCUAUCAUACCGGGCACAUAAUAUGUGAGAUACACAGAUAAACUAAAAACACUAGCACUGCAAACACUCAGAACAAAGAGAGCAGCAGUGCCUGCAGUCUCUCUCUUCACGUCCCCCUUCUGAGACUGGCURCCUGUUGAGAACAAGUGACAGGCAGAAUUCCACACACCAGUAUUCAGUAUUUUAGUCUAUGAUUGCCAUUUGAGUGUACAGAAAAUCUGUGAAAAUAAAUUAAGGACACAACUGUACCAAAAACGAUCAAAGUUUGUAUUCAAAUCUUAAAUAUUGGCAGGUUGGUUUUCACAGCUGUUUCACAAGGUGUUCAUUAUUGUAAGUUGUAAGGUAUCCUUUGAUGGUAGUUAUUUGUUCCACAUGAUUCAUUGUUG